GAAAUUGCAAAUUUACUUUAUUUGUGUCUUUUCUUAACGCUUUGAAGUAAAAUUCACCAAGAAAUCUGUAUUUAAACGGGCGUAAAAUAUGUUGAGCCCCCCAAAAGAAAACCAGCAAAUAAAAUUGCUCAAGGGGCGGGAAAAGGCCGGUUUCUCGGUUAUUUUUAUCCUUUUUUUUACGAGCGCCUGAUUUUACCACGAUGCUUCGUUUGUUACAUUGUGCCGAUUGUUGGUUCUUGAGUGUGGCGCCCACCGUCAUGCACAGGACGUCCCUUUCUGACUGUACUUUGGGGUUAGGCUGCGCCCCCACCCCUCCCCUCCCUGUCCAUGUUUCCCUGCUACAGCCAGUAUAUACACAAACAAUGCAGAAUCUUUGCAACAUCUACAGAAUGGUGGCGAACGUACUGACUUUGUAUCUUUUUAUAACGUUGAUUAUUUCUGUUCCUGUCCAAUCGUUUGACUACACAUUUGUCAUUUUAAUUUUCUUUUCCCAAAAAAUCAGAUGAAGGUUCAUCUGUUGACAAGGUGGAACACAAGCCCGAUAGCGGAGGCAAUUCGAACAACACAGAUUCUAAUGAUGUUCCAAGCAAUGGUGCCACCGCGAAUGUUGGAGACACAGGGUCGGGUACAACAGACGACAAACACGAUCUAGUUGUUGAUGUUGCAAACAAUGACACCACCCCGAAAGUUGGAGACACUGGGUCGGGUACAUCAGACGACAAACACGAUCUUGUUGUUGGUAAGUUAUUUUGUCUGUUCAUGCACACUUUUGCCAUAGUCAUUUAAAAUGAUCAAUA